GGCAGAGGGGUCUCACUGGCAUGCCUGGACUUCCUGGUUUACCUGGCCCAUCUGGACCUUUUGGAGCUGAAGGAAAGCCUGGGACUGCAAGGCCUUGUGGGUAAUGCAGGAAGUCAAGGACUA